AUGUUAACUUCUGGGUGGGGAGUGGGUGUUGUAGGCAGAAAGAAGCACAUUUAUGUCCACUUCCCUUCAACUUAGCUUCGGGUUGAGAGUCCACCCAUUCCCCCAGCCCCUGUGGGAGAGAUAAGAAAGGAGCCUUGCUUGGGCUGUCCCAGCCUCAACAUG
rnacentral:scRNA from 1 species